rnacentral:rRNA from 1 species
UUAAGCGACUAAGCGUACACGGUGGAUGCCCUGGCAGUCAGAGGCGAUGAAGGACGUGCUAAUCUGCGAUAAGCGUCGGUAAGGUGAUAUGAACCGUUAUAACCGGCGAUUUCCGAAUGGGGAAACCCAGUGUGAUUCGUCACACUAUCAUUAACUGAAUCCAUAGGUUAAUGAGGCGAACCGGGGGAACUGAAACAUCUAAGUACCCCGAGGAAAAGAAAUCAACCGAGAUUCCCCCAGUAGCGGCGAGCGAACGGGGAGCAGCCCAGAGCCUGAAUCAGUGUGUGUGUUAGUGGAAGCGUCUGGAAAGGCGCGCGAUACAGGGUGACAGCCCCGUACACAAAAAUGCACAUGCUGUGAGCUCGAUGAGUAGGGCGGGACACGUGGUAUCCUGUCUGAAUAUGGGGGGACCAUCCUCCAAGGCUAAAUACUCCUGACUGACCGAUAGUGAACCAGUACCGUGAGGGAAAGGCGAAAAGAACCCCGGCGAGGGGAGUGAAAAAGAACCUGAAACCGUGUACGUACAAGCAGUGGGAGCACGCUUAGGCGUGUGACUGCGUACCUUUUGUAUAAUGGGUCAGCGACUUAUAUUCUGUAGCAAGGUUAACCGAAUAGGGGAGCCGAAGGGAAACCGAGUCUUAACUGGGCGUUAAGUUGCAGGGUAUAGACCCGAAACCCGGUGAUCUAGCCAUGGGCAGGUUGAAGGUUGGGUAACACUAACUGGAGGACCGAACCGACUAAUGUUGAAAAAUUAGCGGAUGACUUGUGGCUGGGGGUGAAAGGCCAAUCAAACCGGGAGAUAGCUGGUUCUCCCCGAAAGCUAUUUAGGUAGCGCCUCGUGAAUUCAUCUCCGGGGGUAGAGCACUGUUUCGGCAAGGGGGUCAUCCCGACUUACCAACCCGAUGCAAACUGCGAAUACCGGAGAAUGUUAUCACGGGAGACACACGGCGGGUGCUAACGUCCGUCGUGAAGAGGGAAACAACCCAGACCGCCAGCUAAGGUCCCAAAGUCAUGGUUAAGUGGGAAACGAUGUGGGAAGGCCCAGACAGCCAGGAUGUUGGCUUAGAAGCAGCCAUCAUUUAAAGAAAGCGUAAUAGCUCACUGGUCGAGUCGGCCUGCGCGGAAGAUGUAACGGGGCUAAACCAUGCACCGAAGCUGCGGCAGCGACACUAUGUGUUGUUGGGUAGGGGAGCGUUCUGUAAGCCUGUGAAGGUGUACUGUGAGGUAUGCUGGAGGUAUCAGAAGUGCGAAUGCUGACAUAAGUAACGAUAAAGCGGGUGAAAAGCCCGCUCGCCGGAAGACCAAGGGUUCCUGUCCAACGUUAAUCGGGGCAGGGUGAGUCGACCCCUAAGGCGAGGCCGAAAGGCGUAGUCGAUGGGAAACAGGUUAAUAUUCCUGUACUUGGUGUUACUGCGAAGGGGGACGGAGAAGGCUAUGUUGGCCGGGCGACGGUUGUCCCGGUUUAAGCGUGUAGGCUGGUUUUCCAGGCAAAUCCGGAAAAUCAAGGCUGAGGCGUGAUGACGAGGCACUACGGUGCUGAAGCAACAAAUGCCCUGCUUCCAGGAAAAGCCUCUAAGCAUCAGGUAACAUCAAAUCGUACCCCAAACCGACACAGGUGGUCAGGUAGAGAAUACCAAGGCGCUUGAGAGAACUCGGGUGAAGGAACUAGGCAAAAUGGUGCCGUAACUUCGGGAGAAGGCACGCUGAUAUGUAGGUGAAGUCCCUCGCGGAUGGAGCUGAAAUCAGUCGAAGAUACCAGCUGGCUGCAACUGUUUAUUAAAAACACAGCACUGUGCAAACACGAAAGUGGACGUAUACGGUGUGACGCCUGCCCGGUGCCGGAAGGUUAAUUGAUGGGGUCAGCGCAAGCGAAGCUCUUGAUCGAAGCCCCGGUAAACGGCGGCCGUAACUAUAACGGUCCUAAGGUAGCGAAAUUCCUUGUCGGGUAAGUUCCGACCUGCACGAAUGGCGUAAUGAUGGCCAGGCUGUCUCCACCCGAGACUCAGUGAAAUUGAACUCGCUGUGAAGAUGCAGUGUACCCGCGGCAAGACGGAAAGACCCCGUGAACCUUUACUAUAGCUUGACACUGAACAUUGAGCCUUGAUGUGUAGGAUAGGUGGGAGGCUUUGAAGUGUGGACGCCAGUCUGCAUGGAGCCGACCUUGAAAUACCACCCUUUAAUGUUUGAUGUUCUAACGUUGACCCGUAAUCCGGGUUGCGGACAGUGUCUGGUGGGUAGUUUGACUGGGGCGGUCUCCUCCUAAAGAGUAACGGAGGAGCACGAAGGUUGGCUAAUCCUGGUCGGACAUCAGGAGGUUAGUGCAAUGGCAUAAGCCAGCUUGACUGCGAGCGUGACGGCGCGAGCAGGUGCGAAAGCAGGUCAUAGUGAUCCGGUGGUUCUGAAUGGAAGGGCCAUCGCUCAACGGAUAAAAGGUACUCCGGGGAUAACAGGCUGAUACCGCCCAAGAGUUCAUAUCGACGGCGGUGUUUGGCACCUCGAUGUCGGCUCAUCACAUCCUGGGGCUGAAGUAGGUCCCAAGGGUAUGGCUGUUCGCCAUUUAAAGUGGUACGCGAGCUGGGUUUAGAACGUCGUGAGACAGUUCGGUCCCUAUCUGCCGUGGGCGCUGGAGAACUGAGGGGGGCUGCUCCUAGUACGAGAGGACCGGAGUGGACGCAUCACUGGUGUUCGGGUUGUCAUGCCAAUGGCACUGCCCGGUAGCUAAAUGCGGAAGAGAUAAGUGCUGAAAGCAUCUAAGCACGAAACUUGCCCCGAGAUGAGUUCUCCCUGACUCCUUGAGAGUCCUGAAGGAACGUUGAAGACGACGACGUUGAUAGGCCGGGUGUGUAAGCGCAGCGAUGCGUUGAGCUAACCGGUACUAAUGAACCGUGAGGCUUAACCU